UAAAUUCAAGGGAGUGAUAAUCAUACUAUUUCCAUUAUUAGCCUGUUGUUAUUUCUUUAGAUUCUCACCAUUUGCCAACAUUGUUUUCUGUAGAUUGCUGCUUUAUAUAGAUGGAUAGUAAAGGAUGCUAAAGUCCUUAAAAGUAAUCAGGGGAGAGCAACAAAAAUGGGAGAAGGACUGGAAGUUAUUCUGUAUGAGGAAAGACUGAGAACACUUGGGAUUGUCUACUCUGCAGGAGAGAAGGCUAAGAGGGGUCACCCGCCCCAAGAGACAGGAGGGCCCCAGAUCUGAGCAGCAAGUAACUUUUGGGUAGAAAGUGAAGACAAGCUGCAUCUGAUUGAAUAUAUACUGUAACUUCACCUCAUCCCACUGAGCAGUUUGAGUCAGAGGACAGAAGGGACCACUCUGAGUGCUGGGGAUGGUAAGUGAGGACUCAGGACUAAGACCUGCCUUCGCACACUGCCUCAGCUGUCUGUGUGGUUUGGAGGUCAGCCUGGAGCUGUGGGGAAGACCUAGAGCCAAAAUCUCGGAAGGGUUUGAGUGGAGCCCCUGUGCAAAAGACAGAAAGAACUUAGGGGUCUCUCAGAUUUGUCUGGUCAUCUAUGUUAUAUAAUAUCUGUGGUUAUACUCAGUGUCCUGACAUCCUUCACCUCUGAUAAGAAAGAAAUUUCCCAUCUGCAUUUGAAUCUUCUCUCCCCCUCCUCCAUUCCCUCUUCUGACCACUCUUUCCACAUUUGCUUGAUUCAGCACUUUCAGGAUCUGUGUGUGAGGCUGUUUUCUGUACACGCUAGCAAAUAAACAUAUGGAGCAGUCCAACAAACCCUGCUCUUGCUGAUUUCAUUGCCUGCUGGGCAGUAUAAUGAACCACCACAUAAACUCUUUGCCAGCAGUAUUUUGAGAUUAAUGGUUGAUAAAAUAAGCCCAAGAAUGGUAAUACAAGCGCUGAAAAAUAGACUCACAGAUUUCUCAGAAGAGAUGCAUUUUACUCUUGCUAUGCCCUGACAGGUAUCUUCCCAUGGGGCUGCAGUUUGCAAUGCAGAAUUUAAUCGGAUGUUCAAGAUAAUUAAAAACACAUUUUGAAGUGCUUUCGGGAAAGAGAUAUGUAGAAUGAAGGGAAAGUUCUUUGGACUUACAGACAAUGAUUUUACAGUUCAGUUCCCCUCAGCACUCCUAUUAAAAUGUUUCUUACUGUUACUUUCAGUCUGUUUGUAGAUUUACAGUAACAGCAAAACAAUUAUGGACACUGUAUUAUCAAAUAAAAUGCACAUUAGAAUGAUUUAUGUUUGUUUUUUUUUUAAAUCUCAGUAGCAGCAUUUCAUGCAGAGAUUAG
ensembl:lncRNA